UACGGGGGGAGCAAGCGUUGUUCGGAUUUACUGGGCGUAAAGGGCGCGUAGGCGGUCGUGACAAGUCACUUGUGAAAUCUCCGGGCUUAACUCGGAACGGUCAAGUGAUACUGUCGGACUAGAGUACAGAAGGGGCAACUGGAAUUCUCGGUGUAGCGGUGAAAUGCGUAGAUAUCGAGAGGAACACCAGCGGCGAAGGCGGCACUCUGGGCUGGAACUGACGCUGAGGAGCGAAAGCGUGGGUAGCAAACAGG
rnacentral:rRNA from 1 species